AGCGAACGCUGGCGGCAGGCUUAACACAUGCAAGUCGAGCGGGCACUUCGGUGUCAGCGGCAGACGGGUGAGUAACACGUGGGAACGUACCCUUCGGUUCGGAAUAACGCUGGGAAACUAGCGCUAAUACCGGAUACGCCCUUUUGGGGAAAGGUUUACUGCCGAAGGAUCGGCCCGCGUCUGAUUAGCUAGUUGGUGGGGUAAUGGCCUACCAAGGCGACGAUCAGUAGCUGGUCUGAGAGGAUGAUCAGCCGCACUGGGACUGAGACACGGCCCAGACUCCUACGGGAAGCAGCAGUGGGGAAUAUUGGACAAUGGGCGCAAGCCUGAUCCAGCCAUGCCGCGUGAGUGAUGAAGGCCUUAGGGUUGUAAAGCUCUUUUGUCCGGGACGAUAAUGACGGUACCGGAAGAAUAAGCCCCGGCUAACUUCGUG
rnacentral:rRNA from 1 species